GUUUGUCCUCAAUCAAUGUAAACAUAUAAUUAAAAGUUAAAAAAACAAAUAGAAAAAUAAACAUGAAGACAAAAAGAAAAAAAUUAGCUAAAAAUAAAAAUGAAAAAAAAUAAAAAUAAACAAAAAAGGAAAAAUAAAAAAUUUGACUUGGUUUCUUUCUUUAAACAAGCUAGAGUUAGUGAAGAUGGAUGUAAAUAAGAACUUCACACCUAAACUCCCCCACACUUAACUUUUUUUCUCGUUCUC
rnacentral:lncRNA from 1 species